UUUCCUUUCUUCCUUUCUUGAUUGCUGUCUACUCUGUUGCUCCCAAUGAUGUCACAGGGUAAACAAUACAACUGCGCAUGCACCACGUUGGCAGCAAACACACCUUGAGGUAAAGCCUGACUGGAGCUGGUGCUUUCUUUUUGGCGGCCAUCGCUGAAUAGUCGGCUUAGAUGUCAGUCGCAGCAUCAGAGAGCCACAAGCUCGAUUCCGGUGAGGGAGUGAGGCUUGCAGAAAACCAGAUGCUGCAACAAACAAGGCAUCCACAAGAUGUCAGGAUGUCCCACAAUAUCAUCAGGAACCAAUCUCCCAACUUCAAACUGAGGCCUGAACAAGAGAUGUAAAGUUGUGGGCAGCCGGAUCCUGGGUCAGAAGGUGGAUAUUACCAAUCUCCAGCACUACUUGAAGAGGAGCAAGGGGAACUCCACCCAAGCCCAACGUAAACGUAAACUGGAGGAACAACACCUCAUCUUCCGACUAGGGACUUUACAGCCUUCCGGACUGAAUAUUGAAUUCAACAACUUUAGGUCGUGAGCUCCCUCCCCCAUCCCCACCCCCUUUCUGUUU